UCCCUGUGGCUCAGAUGGUAAAGCAUCUGCCUACAAUGCAGGAGACCUGGGUUCAAUCCCUGGGUUGGGAA
rnacentral:tRNA from 1 species